UACAUACAAAAGCUGGUAGAAUGAGUCAUUUCAAAAUAAGGGAUCUACUGCCUUUAAUUUGCAAACUGGAAAAGAGAAAACGGAAAAAUAAUGCAGACAUCAAAAAACCAAAAAUAAAAUAAUGGAAAACCUGCAGACCAGGUAAGAUGACAUUGUUGAAGUAUAUACGGAACUUACGCAAAAGCAGUGUAACCAGUACCAGCAUUAGCAGCAGAUAGCAUUGCUGCAGACACAGAGUCCUGCCCUCCCGUGGGCCGUGGCCAAAGAAUUCCUUCGAUCACCAUCCACCUGAACCAAUAAAAAUCAUGAAAUAAUAGUGAAUAAUCACACUAGUACUUUAUAUCUUCAUUUUUAUUUAUGACAGUGGACCGCAGACACUACUCUUAGGAGUUCACUCUAUAAACCACUAGGUGCAAGCAAUAUCCACU
rnacentral:lncRNA from 1 species